UGAUGUAGACCAGAUCCUCAUGUAGCAAGCAGCUGCAGAUGCUGGUUUAGACCAGGUCCUCAUGUAGCAAGCAGCUGCAGAUGCUGAUGUAGACCAGGUCCUCAUGUAGCAAGCAGCUGCAGAUGCUGAUGUAGACCAGGUCCUCAUGUAGCAAGCAGCUGCAGAUGCUGAUGUAGACCAGGUCCUCAUGUAGCAAGCAGAUGCUGAUGUAGACCAGGUCCUCAUGUAGCAAGCAGCUGCAGAUGCUGAUGUAGACCAGGUCCUCAUGUAGCAAGCAGCUGCAGAUGCUGAUGUAGACCAGGUCCUCAUGUAGCAAGCAGCUGCAGAUGCUGGUUUAGACCAGGUCCUCAUGUAGCAAGCAGCUGCAGAUGCUGAUGUAGACCAUGUCCUCAUGUAGCAAGCAGAUGCUGAUGUAGACCAGGUCCUCAUGUAGCAAGCAGCUGCAGAUGCUGAUGUAGACCAGGUCCUCAUGUAGCAAGCAGCUGCAGAUGCUGAUGUAGACCAGAUCCUCAUGUAGCAAGCAGCUGCAGAUGCUGGUUUAGACCAGGUCCUCA